ACUNNUUAGAGGAACAAGUNCCGUUUAGCCACGCGAGAUUGAGCAAUAACAGGUCUGUGAUGCCCUUAGAUGUUCGGGGCGCACGCGCGCUACACUGGCGGAAUCAGCGUGUCACUGCCCUUGGCCGGAAGGUCUGGGUAAUCCGCUAAACCUCCUCCGUGAUGGGGAUAGGGAGUUGCAAUUAUCUCCCUUGAACGAGGAAUUCCCAGUAAGCCGAGUCAUCAGCUCGCGUUGAU
rnacentral:rRNA from 1 species